rnacentral:rRNA from 1 species
UACAGAGGUCCCAAGCGUUGUUCGGAUUUACUGGGCGUAAAGGGUGCGUAGGUGGCUGGGAAAGUCUGAUGUGAAAUCUCCGGGCUCAACUCGGAAAUGGCAUUGGAAACUAUCUGGCUCAAGGGUCGGAGGGGAGACUGGAAUUCUCGGUGUAGCAGUGAAAUGCGUAGAUAUCGAGAGGAACACCAGUGGCGAAGGCGAGUCUCUGGACGAUACCUGACACUGAGGCACGAAAGCUAGGGGAGCAAACAGG